rnacentral:rRNA from 1 species
UACGUAGGGUGCGAGCGUUAAUCGGAAUUACUGGGCGUAAAGCGUGCGCAGGCGGUUCGCUGUGUCCGAUGUGAAAGCCCCGGGCUCAACCUGGGAACUGCAUUGGAAACUAACGGGCUCGAGUGUGGCAGAGGGGGGUGGAAUUCCACGUGUAGCAGUGAAAUGCGUAGAGAUGUGGAGGAACACCGAUGGCGAAGGCAGCCCCCUGGGCUAACACUGACGCUCAGGCACGAAAGCGUGGGGAGCAAACAGG